rnacentral:tRNA from 1 species
GGCGCGGUACCCAAGUGGUUAAGGGGGGGGACUGCAAAUCCCCUAUUCAGCGGUUCGAAUCCGCUCCGCGCCUCCA